GUCCCUGUAGCGCAAUGGAUAGCGCGUUGGAAUUCUAAUCCAAAGGUCGUGGAUUCGAAUUCCACCUAGGAUG
rnacentral:tRNA from 1 species